rnacentral:tRNA from 1 species
GUUUCCGUGGUGUAGUGGUUAUCACGUGUGCCUUACACGCGCAAGGUCCCUGGUUCGAUCCCGGGCGGAAACA